CAAUCAACACCGAAUAGGAAUUCAAUGAAGCCGAUGUACACUUCCACCACUUUUCUGUACUGCGACAUGGCGUAAUAAACAUGUCUAAAAUGAAUGGCGGUGCCGAUAUGAAGGACGAAUUUGCGAACUCAUAAAGGCUAGUACUUCUGACAACUGCAAAGUUCAUUGAACUUUGUUCAAGGACUUCCUUACUCUUACACUUAGUGAUACUCUACACAAUUCCCUGAAUCACUCAACAUUCGUACACAAUUAACGAAAGGGCACUCUCCUCCAUGGAAGUUUUGUGGAAUAGGAAUGAUCAUGUCCAGUAAACAAGGAGAAAACUGUGGAUACUGGUCUGAUAUCUCUCGGGAUUCUGCUCCACAGGGAUACUUGAGCGCAGAUUUCAUAACAUCCAAAUCUGGCUAUAAUUGUGGUCCUCAGAUCUCAAUCAUAC
rnacentral:lncRNA from 1 species